AGAUGUGCUCUCCUGGCCCAUGAAAUCAAGUGUGGGUGAGACCUGGUGCAGAACGGGAAGGCGACCCAUACUUGGUUUCAGAGGCUGUGAGAAUA
rnacentral:ncRNA from 2 species